UGGCUCAGUUGGUAGAGCAUGGUGGUUGCAACGCCAGCAUGGUGUGUGCAACGCCAGGGCUGUGGGUUCGAUUCCCAC
rfam:Salmo salar isolate Sally breed double haploid chromosome ssa14, whole genome shotgun sequence.